GUGAGUCUGUCCUCCUGUCCGCCGGCCCCAGUGUUGUUGGCUGGGAGGAAAUGGAGGGAGAAAAUCCAUAGAGAGGGGUCUGGGAUCAAGAUUGGGUCAAGAAAGAAAACACGAACAGAAAAGUGAGGAGGGGGAAAGGGGAGAAGAACGCUGCUUCUGGCUCAUCCUUAAUGAGCUCCGUGGGAACCAGGCCGAAGACGAUCGCGUAGGAACACACUCCCCAACAACCCAGACUUGACCAUCUCUUCCAGGAUCUACCCAGUCCGGGACUAAGCCACUCCAGGACCCAGAGAGCCGAGAGUCAUGACAGUGCCUCAGUGCUUAGAACAGUGCCUCUAGUUUAGAACAGUGUCUGGCACAUAGUAAGAGCUUAACAAAUACCAUAAUUGGGAUUAUGAUUAUUAUUAUCAUCAGAAUAAUUAUUGAGCAUUGACUGCAGACAGAGCAAAAUCCUACAAGCUCAGGAGUGUGCAAUACAACUAGAAGGAAUGAGCCUUGCUCUCUUGGACCUUACAAUCUAGAGGGGAGGUCACCUGCCAGCCAUGGUAACAAUGGGGACACUGGAAAAAACUUCAAUCUAUCUUGGACAGCAAAAAGCAAGCAAAAGGCCUUGGCCAAGAAUCUUACAGCAGUUCAGGUGGCUCAUCAGGAGGUCCUGACCGGUUUGAAGAGCUCCAGCUUGGCCAGGGUGAGCCACACGCAGUCAGGGCCCUCCCCAUCCUGCUGCAGAAGUCCGGAGCCACAGCAGAUCAGGUGGCCCAGCUCGAGAGGAGCAUGUAUCUACACCUCCCCUCCUCCCGCAACCUGGACUAGAAGACCACCCUCCUGAAAGCCCUAGUCCUGCUCUCCUGCCAUCAUCCUCGGGCCAUGGAGCUGGUCUUCUUAGAGCACUUGCUGCCCCUGGACAGGCCACCAACACUCUAUGAUCUACUCUUCAUCCAGGAGUACUCCAAGACCAUGACCCAGUUCUUCCCCCAGCUCUUCUUGGCCUUCAUCACCCAGGUCCACUAUGUGCUGGAGCUGGGCCUGCGGGAGGACCAGAAGCAGGAGGCCAGAAAGCCCAUCGUGCCCUCCAACCUCGGCCCCUGGAGGUGAGCGGA